CUCUGUGUUUCUGUCUCUGUCUUUAUGAAGCUGGAUGUGAGUAAGGUAGUGGUGCUCUGUGUUUCUGUCUGUAUGAAGCUGGAUGUGAGUAAGGUAGUGGUGCUCUGUGUUUCUGUCUCUGUCUUUAUGAAGCUGGAUGUGAGUAAGGUAGUGGUGCUCUGUGUUUCUGUCUCUGUCUUUAUGAAGCUGGAUGUGAGUAAGGUAGUGGUGCUCUGUGUUUCUGUCUUUAUGAAGCUGGAUGUGAGUAAGGUAGUGGUGCUCUGUGUUUCUGUCUGUAUGAAGCUGGAUGUGAGUAAGGUAGUGGUGCUCUGUGUUUCUGUCUGUAUGAAGCUGGAUGUGAGUAAGGUAGUGGUGCUCUGUGUUUCUGUCUCUGU